AUGCAAGUCGAACGGUAGAGGGGGCAACCCCUUGAGAGUGGCGAACGGGUCAUUAAUAUAUCGGAACGUGCCCAGUCGUGGGGGAUAACGUAGCGAAAGUUACGCUAAUACCGCAUACGAUCUAAGGAUGAAAGCGGGGGACUCGCAAGAGCCUCGCGCGAUUGGAGCGGCCGAUAUCAGAUUAGGUAGUUGGUGGGGUAAAGGCUCACCAAGCCAACGAUCUGUAGCUGGUCUGAGAGGACGACCAGCCACACUGGAACUGAGACACGGUCCAGACUCCUACGGGAGGCAGCAGUGGGGAAUUUUGGACAAUGGACGCAAGUCUGAUCCAGCCAUUCCGCGUGCAGGAUGAAGGCCCUCGGGUUGUAAACUGCUUUUGUACGGAACGAAAAGGUUUCUCUUAAUACGAGGAGCUCAUGACGGUACUGUAAGAAUAAGCACCGGCUAACUACGUGCCAGCAGCCGCGGUAAUACGUAGGGUGCAAGCGUUAAUCGGAAUUACUGGGCGUAAAGCGUGCGCAGGCGGUUAUAUAAGACAGAUGUGAAAUCCCCGGGCUCAACCUGGGAACUGCAUUUGUGACUGUAUAGCUAGAGUACGGUAGAGGGGGAUGGAAUUCCGCGUGUAGCAGUGAAAUGCGUAGAUAUGCGGAGGAACACCGAUGGCGAAGGCAAUCCCCUGGACCUGUACUGACGCUCAUGCACGAAAGCGUGGGGAGCAAACAGGAUUAGAUACCCUGGUAGUCCACGCCCUAAACGAUGUCAACUGGUUGUUGGGUCUUCACUGACUCAGUAACGAAGCUAACGCGUGAAGUUGACCGCCUGGGGAGUACGGCCGCAAGGUUGAAACUCAGAGGAAUUGACGGGGACCCGCACAAGCGGUGGAUGAUGUGGUUUAAUUCGNAUGCACGCGAAAACCUUACCCACCUUUGACAUGUACGGAAGCCUUUAGAGAUAGAGGCGUGCUCGAAAGAGAGCCGUAACACAGGUGCUGCAUGGCUGUCGUCAGCUCGUGU
rnacentral:rRNA from 1 species